rnacentral:rRNA from 1 species
AUGUCACAUGAUAUUCUAAUCAUGCACGCGAUAGAAAGGAAACCCGCACACGCUACCUCUCUCUCGUUCCAUCUUCUCCAGCCCCACGCCCCAUCCCCUCCCUGCAUCUCCGCCGCCGCCGCCGCCCCCCAUAUCCACCGCACGAGGGCUCGCCCGUCUGCGCACAGUGUGGUCACCAAGGGGUGGGGAGACAUGAACCUAGUAUACGCCGCCAUGUUACCAGCUCUGCUUUUGAGGUUGUUCCACAACCAGAUCUGGAUCAGCUUGUCUCGCCACCAGACCGCACGGAGGAAGCACAUCAUUGUUGACCGCAGCCUUGAAUUCGACCAGGUCGACCGGGAGAGAUCCUGGGAUGACCAGGCCAUCCUUGCUAUGCUGUUUUUCUACGUGGCCUAUGCGGCCAUCCCGAGUGUCAGACUCAUGCCAAUGUGGGAAACAGAGGGAGUUAUCAUCAUGGCGUUGCUUCACGUAGGACAUGUUGAGUUUAUCUACUAUUGGUUCCACAGGGCGCUGCACCACCAUUUCCUCUACUCCCGCUACCACUCCCACCACCAUGCCUCCAUCGUCACAGAGCCUAUAACAGGUAAGUAA